rnacentral:rRNA from 1 species
UACGAAGGGGGCUAGCGUUGUUCGGAAUUACUGGGCGUAAAGCGCACGUAGGCGGACUAUUAAGUCAGGGGUGAAAUCCCGGGGCUCAACCCCGGAACUGCCUUUGAUACUGGUAGUCUCGAGUCCGGAAGAGGUGAGUGGAAUUCCGGAGUGUAGAGGUGAAAUUCGUAGAUAUUCGGAGGAACACCAGUGGCGAAGGCGGCUCACGUGGUCCGGUACUGACGCUGAGGUGCGGAAAGCGUGGGGAGCAAACAGG